rnacentral:rRNA from 1 species
AGAGUUUGAUCAUGGCUCAGAAUGAACGUUGGCGGCGUGGAUUAGGCAUGCAAGUCGCGCGAGAAGCCUCCUUCGGGGGGUGGACAGCGGCGAAAGGGAGAGUAACGCGUGGAUACGUACCCUCGGAUCUGGGAUAGCUGCGGGAAACUGCAGGUAAUACCGGAUAAUGUCUCCGGACCAAAGGUGCAAUUCCGUCCGGGGAGCGGUCCGCGUCCUACUAGCUAGUUGGUGGGGUAAUGGCCCACAAAGGCUAAGAUGGGUACCGGGUGUGAGAGCAUGGCCCGGCUCACUGGGACUGAGACACUGCCCAGACACCUACGGGUGGCUGCAGUCGAGAAUCUUCCGCAAUGGACGCAAGUCUGACGGAGCGACGCCGCGUGCGGGAUGAAGGCCCUCGGGUUGUAAACCGCUGUCAGUUGGGAGGAAAUGCUAUGGGGUUCUCUCCAUAGUUUGACCGAUCUUCAGAGGAAGUGCAGGCUAAGUUCGUGCCAGCCGCCGCGGUAAUACAAUCC